AUGACGGCCUUACCUGGAACCGAUCCCUAUGUACACACUCUUGCACCGAUGCGUGCCACAGCUUUAAUUAAUUGUUACUCCACCUACGACGAGCUCCACGUCUAUGUUUGUGAACCUAUCGGAAAGUUAUGCCCUUGGCAUUUGGAACGAGAUGCAGACAUGAGAAGGGUCACAGUAGGCUACGUUUGCAGUUGCCGUCCCUGUCGACGCACAAAUGCAGUUUGUAUAGCCUUGGCAUUUGGAACCACCAUCCGGAGGCGCAAUAAAGCCGCGCACACCAAGCCCCUUGACCCGCCGAUGAAUUCUGGUUGCCAGCCCUACUUGGACCUGUUUUCACCGUGCACUCCAUCCAUCCACCGCGCCGACUCCCUUCCCUUCUUGGCUAAGCUCCCAAUAAAUUGGGCCGUCGCCGUCUCGCCCUGCACCGGCCUCUCUGUCCGUCCAUCGUAG
rnacentral:rRNA from 1 species